GUUGUUCGGAAUUACUGGGCGUAAAGGGCGCGUAGGCGGCUCGCUAAGUCGGAUGUGAAAACUCUGGGCUCAACCCAGAGCCUGCAUUCGAAACUAACGAGCUCGAGUUCUGGAGGGGAAAGCGGAAUUCCUGGUGUAGCGGUGAAAUGCGUAGAUAUCAGGAGGAACACCGGUGGCGAAGGCGGCUUUCUGGACAGAAACUGACGCUGAUGCGCGAAAGCUAGGGGAGCAAACAGG
rnacentral:rRNA from 1 species